rnacentral:rRNA from 1 species
GACGAACGCUGGCGGCGUGCCUAAUACAUGCAAGUAGAACGCACAGUUUAUACCGUAGCUUGCUACACCAUAAACUGUGAGUUGCGAACGGGUGAGUAACGCGUAGGUAACCUGCCUGGUAGCGGGGGAUAACUAUUGGAGACGAUAGCUAAUACCGCAUAAUAUUGAUUAUUGCAUGAUAAUUGAUUGAAAGAUGCUAUUGCAUCACCACCAGAUGGACCUGCGUUGUAUUAGCUAGUAGGUGAGGUAACGGCUCACCUAGGCGACGAUACAUAGCCGACCUGAGAGGGUGAUCGGCCACACUGGGACUGAGACACGGCCCAGACUCCUACGGGAGGCAGCAGUAGGGAAUCUUCGGCAAUGGACGAAAGUCUGACCGAGCAACGCCACGUGAGUGAAGAAGGUUUUCGGAUCGUAAAGCUCUGUUGUAAGAGAAGAACGGGUGUGAGAGUGGAAAGUUCACACUGUGACGGUAUCUUACCAGAAAGGGACGGCUAACUACGUG